AACGAACGCUGGCGGCAGGCUUAACACAUGCAAGUCGAGCGCCCCGCAAGGGGAGCGGCAGACGGGUGAGUAACGCGUGGGAAUCUACCCAACCCUACGGAAUAACGCAUGGAAACGUGUGCUAAUACCGUAUACGCCCUACGGGGGAAAGAUUUAUCGGGGAUGGAUGAGCCCGCGUUGGAUUAGCUAGUUGGUGGGGUAAAGGCCUACCAAGGCGACGAUCCAUAGCUGGUCUGAGCGGAUGAUCAGCCACAUUGGGACUGAGACACGGCCCAAAGUCCUACGGGAGGGAGCAGUGGGGAAUAUUUGACAAUGGGCGCAAGCCUGAUCCAGCCAUGCCGCGUGAGUGAUGAAGGCCCUAGGGUUGUAAAGCUCUUUCACCGAUGAAGAUAAUGACGGUAGUCGGAGAAGAAGCCCCGGCUAACUUCGUGCCAGCCGCCGCCGUAAUAC
rnacentral:rRNA from 1 species